rnacentral:hammerhead_ribozyme from 1 species
AUCCAGCUGACGAGUCCCAGAUAGGACGAAAUGAGCGUUUUGGGU